rnacentral:lncRNA from 1 species
CCGUGAGAUACCACGCUGGAUAUGUAAAACUAAAUUUACCCAGACGUAACAAAACAUUUCUAAUAAUAGUCAAAUUUUUAGAUGCAGAAUAUUGAAGGGGACUUCCAAGACAAAGGCAAUCAGGCAAUUGACAUAAAAUCAAGGAGAGCUCACAGACAGUUCACUCUGCCCCUUGUUUCUCUUCUUAGCUUCUAAAUCAGCUUUUGCACAGAUAACUUACAAAACAGCACACUGGCUUGAACAGAAGCUACAGCAUACCUGGCAAUAGGAGAAAAUCUCUUGAAAAUAGAAAUCUUCACAUUCCUACCCACAGCCAAAAUACUUCAGCCAACUCUGGCUGCAAUUUAAUUGUGAAGCAAACUGUAUCCACAACAAAGGAGAACAAUUAUAUGUAAUCUGGCCCUGUGGGCAAACAGAUAUCAAGUGUAAUGAUGUUGUAGGCCAACUAUUUGUUUUGGUUACUUUAGCUGGGCAUUUCAUUCAGAAUGGAGUAAGUAUUGCGGAAGAUGGAUUUUCAGUAACAGCCUUACAGAUAGAAUAAUUUCAGAAAAACCUGGAGGUGUGCACUUCCUUUAGAAAAGGAAUUAUAUCCUCAGAAUUUUCUGUUCAUACAGCUUAUCCAGCUGUUUCCUUGGUUUCAGACUUUCUGAGAACCAUGACAAAACACUUCUUACAGAACCUAAACUUUUAGUAUUCCUCUGGCAUUUAACAUUGUAGUUUCAGCCCAGAAAUGGUGGUCUUACGAACAACGAAGUAAAACAGGAGCAGGAUGAAAUUCCAGACUGAAGUAUCUAAAUUCAGAUGUAUAGAUGCAGAUUAGGUGCCUGGGCCUUCCUUAUUGUCAUUGAAGACUUGGGUCUUGAUUUAUUUACUGACAGAGAGGCAUCUAGUGCCAUUGAGAAGCACUGAGAUAUCGGAGAAGACUGCACAGGAUUGAUAGUUGUGACAUUGGAACCACGGUGCACGCUUGCCCUUGUAGAUUUGCAGGUGAAGGCCAGGUCAAGUAAUCUAGAGAACAUCGAGAGGCAUCAGGGACUGCUUGUGGAAGUUUCAGUGGAGGCAAUAACAGGUUCCUUGGUUAAAGCUGUAAAGAGAGAUAAAGAGCACAGCUGCCUCCUCAAGCUGCUCUGGAGUAGGACCACUCCUGCCCUGCUGCUGGGGCCCAGCAAAGCUCCUGGGGAAGCAA